UGCACACUGUGUGGCCUGAGCUGUAAGAAA
rnacentral:piRNA from 1 species